rnacentral:rRNA from 1 species
UACGUAGGUGACAAGCGUUGUCCGGAAUUAUUGGGCGUAAAGGGCGCGUAGGUGGCGGGACAAGCGUGCGGUGAAAGCCUGGGGCUCAACCCCGGGUCGGCCGUGCGAACUGUUUUGCUUGAGCACUGUAGAGGCAGGCGGAAUUCCGGGUGUAGCGGUGGAAUGCGUAGAGAUCCGGAAGAACACCGGUGGCGAAGGCGGCCUGCUGGGCAGUAGCUGACACUGAGGCGCGACAGCGUGGGGGAGCAAACAGG